UUCCUUUCACUGUAUCGCGAGCGCCGAAUCCCGGCGCCCACCUUCAUCAUACGCAUGUGGGGUUAAUGGUUUCAAUCUUCCAGAUAUCGAAGCGAUAAUUUGCGCUUUUCUGUUGCCGGAAAACGUCAUUGCGAACCGGCGUCCUUCCAGCUUCCGUCCGGGUUCCGCAGCCGGGUCGAGGACAGGCUGGAUUUCAGGCCGGUGAGGAANUCAGUCCGGUGAGGAAUGUCCAGGCCGGCGCCCGCCGGCUUGCCAGUGUUCCCGCGCUCCGCUCGUCGA
rnacentral:misc_RNA from 1 species